rnacentral:tRNA from 1 species
GGGGCUGUAGCUCAAUGGUAGAGCGCCUACCCUGCAUGUGCAAGGUACUGGGUUUGAUCCUCAGCCCCA